GACGAACGCUGGCGGCGUGCUUAACACAUGCAAGUCGAGCGGUAAGGCCCCUUCGGGGGUACACGAGCGGCGAACGGGUGAGUAACACGUGAGCAAUCUGCCCAUCACAUCGGGAUAACUCCGGGAAACCGAAGCUAAUACCGAAUACGACCACCUCCGGCAUCGGAUGGUGGUGGAAAGUUCCGGCGGUGAUGGAUGAGCUCGCGGCCUAUCAGCUUGUUGGUGGGGUAACGGCCCACCAAGGCUUCGACGGGUAGCCGGCCUGAGAGGGUGACCGGCCACACUGGGACUGCGACACGGCCCAGACUCCUACGGGAGGCAGCAGUGGGGAAUAUUGGACAAUGGGCGAAAGCCUGAUCCAGCAACGCCGCGUGAGGGAUGACGGCCUUCGGGUUGUAAACCUCUUUCAGCAGGGACGAAGCGCAAGUGACGGUACCUGCAGAAGAAGCACCGGCCAACUACGUG
rnacentral:rRNA from 1 species